CUCAUCCAUAAAUCGCUGGAGAAAUGCAAAGCAAAUUAUUACUAAUGGGGGCUUAUGACUCAAAGACAGAUUUUUAAUUAGCUGAACAGGAAGAAGUCAAUGCCAACAGCAAUUCAAGGAGGUGUUUGCGAGACUCAAAUCUCAGUUCAAACUGGCAACUGCUCUGCCGUCCGCGGGAGACCCCAGCCCAUGUGUGGCUCUUGCAGGAUGCUGCCCUGGCAGAAGCAGCCCUCCUCCUCUCAGGCUGGCUUCGGUGGCAACGGAGACUUUCCCUGGUCCCCUAGUCUCAUUUCCCUUUUGCUCUUUGCCCACUUCCCAAGCGCUCCGGAGCCACCUGCAACUCAGGGCUAGAAGAAAUGCUUUUAAUAGUGUCUUUCAUUUUAAUAACUUGGAGAGCAAAGGAAGGUUUGUGCAUGACCCAUGCAGCAGCCGUGAAUACCUGGGUUAAGCCCUCUGACUUCUCUGGGAGGAAGAGUCAGGCGCUGUUAUCACCCUCUGAGGAGCAAGGGAAGGAGAGAUCCUCACCAGAGCCAGGAAACGUGAUGGGUUUUAUUGUCCGGAAGCAGAAACGUCUUUACUCAGAUUCCUUGGAAACAUCCAGGCAUAUCUCCAAACUUGAGGUUGAUGGGUAAAUCCUCAGCGUUUAUGGGAAACGCGCUGGCUCCUGGGACGUUUCAAGUGUGUACAAUGCCAUGAUUUCUCACUUUUCCUUCCUCUGAAGUCAGAGACACCGAAGCCAAGACAGGCUGCCGACCGCCCCCUGCCUGCUGGACACUUCUCUCUUCAUCUUUUAUCACUUUGGCUCCUGUUAGGUUUACACUGCCUUCUUUCCAUGUUCCUAAGCCCUCCCAGAGCUGUAUGAGUUUGUUUAGGUGCUUUACUCCUGAAACAAGUUGAAGAAACUCCAGAAUAAGCAGUAUACAAGCUGAACUUAAUGAAUUGAGCCAAACCCACUGAUUCAAAGGCGGUGUCAUCUCUGCCAAAAGAGGACUCCAACACAGCCCGCUACUGGUGGAGCUCAACAGCAGCUGCAGUAGGUUUUUAACACAGUUUAUCCGUCAGUAAUUCCUCCUCCUUCCCCAGUGCCUCUGCUGACACCUGUCUGGUUAUGAGACACCUUCCAAAGGAGGAUUUCAUGGGCUCCUCUAUCCUGAUUGACGUCUACUCUAUGUCCUUCAGCAAAAUUGGACAGAAAUGCUUGGGGCUUCUCUGACUGGGGAGGAAUAAAAAAGAGCCUUGAGCUCCUCUUGCA
rnacentral:lncRNA from 1 species